ensembl:snRNA U6 U6 spliceosomal RNA
GUGCUCACUUCAGUAGCACAUAUACUAAAAUUGGAACAAUACAGAGAAGAUAAGCAUGGCCCCUGUGCAAGGUUGACAUGCAAAUCUGUGAAGCGUUCCAUACUUUU